GGACCCGCACAAGUAGUGGAGCAUGUGGUUUAAUUCGAAGAUACGCGCAGAACCUUACCAACACUUGACAUGUUCGUCGCGACUUUAAGAGAUUAAAGUUUUCGGUUCGGCCGGACGAAACACAGGUGCUGCAUGGCUGUCGUCAGCUCGUGUCGUGAGAUGUUGGGUUAAGUCCCGCAACGAGCGCAACCCUCACUUUUAGUUGCCAUCAUUUAGUUGGGCACUCUGAAAGAACUGCCAGUGAUAAGCUGGAGGAAGGUGGGGAUGACGUCAAGUCCUCAUGGCCCUUACGUGUUGGGCUACACACGUGCUACAAUGGUAUCUACAACAGGAAGCAAAACGGCGACGUUAAGCAAAUCCUUAAAAGAUACCUCAGUUCGGAUUGUACUCUGCAACUCGAGUACAUGAAGCUGGAAUUACUAGUAAUCGUGGAU
rnacentral:rRNA from 1 species